rnacentral:rRNA from 1 species
GACGAACCGUGCGAACGUUGUUCGGAUUCACUGGGCUUAAAGGGCGCGUAGGCGGCUCGCCAAGUCAGGGGUGAAAUCUUUCGGCUCAACCGGAAAAGUGCUUCUGAUACUGGCGGGCUGGAGGAGGGUAGGGGCGGAUGGAACUUCCGGUGGAGCGGUGAAAUGCGUAGAUAUCGGAAGGAACGCCGGUGGCGAAAGCGAUCCGCUGGACCCUCCCUGACGCUGAGGCGCGAAAGCCAGGGGAGCGAACGGG